rnacentral:rRNA from 1 species
UACAGAGGGGGCAAGCGUUGUUCGGAAUUACUGGGCGUAAAGGGCGCGUAGGCGGCCUUCUAAGUCGAACGUGAAAUCCCCGGGCUCAACCCGGGAACUGCGUCCGAUACUGGAAGGCUUGAAUCCGGGAGAGGGAUGCGGAAUUCCAGGUGUAGCGGUGAAAUGCGUAGAUAUCUGGAGGAACACCGGUGGCGAAGGCGGCAUCCUGGACCGGCGUUGACGCUGAGGAGCGAAAGCCAGGGGAGCAAACGGG